rnacentral:lncRNA from 1 species
GGAGGACUUUGUUUCCUGGUGGCAAAGCCACAGAUCCUGAGCUCAGUGCUGAGAGCCGCCCCACCCUGUUGGCCGCCCUACUUUAUGAUUUCUACUGGCUGCAGGCUGCAUGGGAAGGACCCGCGAGACCCUCCAGACACGCGAUGCCUCCUGGAGUGCCAAGAUGCCAGGAAUGUGCCACCAUGCCUGGCUAAGAUGGGGGUUCCUUCACCAGUCUUAAGCUGGAUCACUGUCCUUGGUGAAAUGAAACUUCAGUGAGGCAUGGUGCUGCCCACCUUUCAUCUGAGCCACUUGGGAUACUGAAGCUGGAUUAUUGAAAUAGCAAGGCCAGGUUGGAGAAUGGACCAUGAGCCAGAUCAACAUACAGUAAAAUCACUGGGGCUGUGUCUCCAAUUAAAGUAAUUUGUGUAACAUGUGCAAGGCCCUGAAUUCAGUCCAGUACUAAAGCAUAAAAGAAAAAGUGAUAAUAAUCAGUAGAAAAUUUACUUUGAUUUGGAAUUUUAUACUGUUUGCACACUAGUGGUCUGUGGCACAAUACUUGCUCCAGAUGCUGGGCAGCAGCAGUGAGUCCCUGCUGUCAGUGACAGGACACCAAGUGACAACAUCCAGUGAUCUACAUUGCAGCACAUUCAAUAAACUACAUGGGGUAUUUAAUAUUUUAUCAUGAAAUAAGCUAUGUGUUACAUACAUUUUCUAAAAUACAGGUUAAUAUAAGUGUGUUUAUCAGUUUUAAAGGAGGCAAGGCUUAGCAAAGUUUGCUGAUUAUGUAUGUUCAGUGCAUUUUCAAUAUGUUAUAGUUUGAAGUGCCUGUGGGUUGAUCAAGAUAUUUCCCCUUGAUAACUGAAGCAGAAUGUGUAGACUCAUUCCUUCAACUCUUUGUAAAGUGCUUCUCUGUAGAAUAUGAAGCUUAUCAGAUAGUACCCAGUGUUGAGUGCUGUAUUAAUCAGGUUCUUCCAAGGAACUGAACUGGGAUACAUUAUGAGUAGUGAUUUGAUUUUUUUAAAAAGCAGGGCUAUGGCUUUUGUGUUCUGGUUUUGGUUUGGUUUUUUUGGUUGUUUAUUAAUUUUAGUAUUAUAGAGAGAUGCAUCAUUCUGGUCACAAUGUCUUGCUUGUUCCUUGAGGACAAGGAGAUAGGAUAGGCAUUGGACCACAAGACACUGUGUAUGUAUACUGCUGAAAUGAAAACUCUUCCAUUCCUAGUUCUAUUUUGUGCUGAUUGUGGGAACCAUUGUUACUGCCUCAGUCUUGGAGAAAGUGUUUGGCUUUCUACUGUACCCUUUUCUGUUUUCCCAUUACCUCUUCCUGGCCUUAAUGGACUGAACUCCUGUCUGCCUGGAACAGUCACCUCCCAGACUUGAGGCUCUUUCUCCUUUGCAAUGACUUACAUUACUCUAGGGGAGAUGACCACAAGCAUUUGUUCUGUGUUCCAUAUGUGGCUGGAGUAUGCAGUCUCUGAAAUUCUCCAGAGUUCUGAAUUCUCCAUACCUUGUAGAGAACUCUCUCAUGUUGACAUCCUCAAGAAGCCUGUAGGAAUGGCCUCUGCAGAAGGGGCACAGCUGAGAUAAAGCACAGAGCUUCACUUCACUUACCUCUAGUCUGGCCUCUACCUCCGCACUGUGUGUCAUCAUAGCACAACAAGCUGUGGAGAUCUUUGUGAAGUUUUGCUCUAGUAGAAUCUGAAAGGAGGUGGGGAGGGGUAGAAAAAGAGAAAAACUACCUGGCAUGGUGGUGCAUGUCUGUAAUCCCAGAACUCAGGAGGCUGAAUCAGAAGGAUUGCCAUGAGUUUGAGGGCAGUCUGGGCUACAUAGUAAGACCCUGUCUGAAAAAAUAAAUUAAUUCAAAAUAAGUAAAAAAGCAUUUAAGUACAGAUGGAGAGAUAUUUGUGUCACUCAUCUUGGAUUUGUAAUGCAGAGUUAGAAAAAUGUCACCAUGUGGGAUCUUUUUGCCCUCUCAGGGUGCCACAUCAUCCAGGAUCUUAUGUGUCUGCUGGCCCUACUAAGUCAGAUAUUCAGCCACUGGUGGUGAUUCCAUACUUCAGAAAACAUGUGCAUGUAACAUAAUACCUCACUUGUCUUUUCUAAAGUCUUUGGAAAGCAGGAUUCUCAAGUUCUAUCAGUGAUAUAAAUGCACUGGAAAUAUUCUCUUUCCUGCUGCCCUAGAGACAAAUUAGAGACCAUGCUGCUGUUGCUCAGGAGCAUGCUUGCUAGUGCACGGAGCAUGUAUCAGUUUAAAAUCUAACACACACUGUCCACACUACCACCAGGGAACAAUAAUUCCUAUUUCUCUUCCUGACAAUUACCAAAUGUUUUCUUAUUUGCUGAAUUUUUCUGAUUUGAAUUGAUAUUCCAUUCCAUUUUUCCAUUUAUGCCUUCUUUUUCCCCCUUUCCUGUAUAGGCCUUUCUGUAAUUUAUUUGCUUAUAUUAUGUGUUCACAUUUGUGUUGAGGAUAGUUUCUUAAUAACCUAUUUUCUCUUUUAGUUAUUUAUCACUUGUAGAGAAUGAAAAUACCUUCUACAAUUUUUAAUCCACAGGUUAGUUUCAUUAAGGAUCUUCUUUGCUGAACAGAAAUCAUGUUACUCUCUUUGUAUCUUUUUAUAGUCACCUUAACAUUUGUGCCUUUACAAAUUUGUAUCUGAAGAUUUUCCCACUCUUACCAAAUGAGAAAAUGAUUUUCUUAUGUUUUCAUCCGUGUUUUACAGUUUCUUAUUUUGUAUUUUUGCCUUAUGUCUGCCUGGAAUGCUCCUUUGAAAUUUUGUGAUGAAAACUCAGGUUUACUCAGCCCAUAAUACAUACAUACAGUUUACCACCAUAAAUGUGGGAUCAAUCACCUGUUCCUCUUGAUUUGUGCUGCCAGUCAUGUCAAAUUUCACUUUAAAAUAAAGCAGAAAUAUUUCUUGAUAUUUCUAAUAAAUUUAGUGUUUAGUCUAGUCUAAAUGUUGUCUCAUAUUCAGACUUAAAUGACUGUAACUCUAUACUGUGUCCCAGAAAAUGAAGAGUAAAAAUUCUCUUUCGUUUUUUAUUUGAGAUUUCAAAAGUAUAGUGCUAUCCUUUGUGUUUCAGAAAGGGUUAUAAUAGAUGUUUGUCACAUUCACAGUUACUUCAGUAGCAUUAUAAAUAUGAUUGUAUUAAUAAUAUAAUUUAAAGAAUAUAUAGCACAUCAUCAACUCUAAGUCUGUACAUUAUUUUCUAUAUAUUCAGAUCAUCUUCUCCAAUUUAUUUUUCUUUUGGAUUUUUGGGACUGGGACUCCUUGUGUAGUUCUGGUGACCUUGAAGUCAUUAUGUAGCCCAGGUUUGGAAAGAACUGGUGUUUUUCUUCUGCUCAGUCCACCCAACUGCUGGGAUUGUAGAAUGUGCAUCAUGCCUGGCUAUCGAAUUUUAUCUGUGCAUAAUAUUUUUCUCUAUGAUUAUGUUGCAAAUCUUUAAAGAAUUUGUUGAUAAGGUUUUAUAAAGGUGGAUAUAUAACUGCUUGGAGGAAUAUGAGUAUUUCUCAUUAACGUCUUUAGAGCAAUAUGUGAGGAGGCUUUUCUUGUAUAAAACAAAAUAUUGACACAGAGUGAGACAAGUCGCAGGAUGGUCCAUCUCUUAACUCCUUUUAAGGCUGGUAUUAGAAAUUUAUGGAAACACUGAUAAAAGUUCAAUCUUCUAAUAAAAUGUGUUUUUAAAAAUAUAGUUUCUUCCCUAAAAUGUUCACGAUACUCAUAAGUACAUUCUUGCACUUUUGAUUCUAUUAAUAAAUCAUUUUAAAAACUUGUAGUAUGUAAAAAACUCAUCCUAAAACAAAUCUAAAUCAAAGACCAUUUGUUUCUCUGUAGUUAUUAUGUAUAUGUUGACCUUCAUUUUUUAAAAAACAGAUUUGAGAGCUAUUCCCUUAUACUAUGUCUUCUGAUUGGGGAUCCCUUUGUUUUAUUGCAUUCAUAUAGUUUUAGUAUUAAAACUAUGAGAAAGACUUAUUUUCCAGUUGAUCUCUGACAAGAUAGAUCUUCCUGUUGUUCUAAGAUGUGGCUACUUUCAUCAUCUGUGGAUGAUAAUUUUGCCUCUUCCAUUUCUAUCCUAUGUCACUUAUUUCUCUUCCCUGUAUUAUAACAUGACACAUGAAUUUUGGUCUCACAUGGUAGAACAGUAGAUAUAGUGAAUAUCCUUGACUUAUUUCUGAUUGUAAAAGAAUUCAUGAGAGUGUCUUCAUUUACAGUCCCAUAUGUUAAUUUUGUGGUAUAUAUGCUUUAUUUAGUUGUUAAUCCCUUUUGGCUUUUUAUUACAGACAUUUAAUAAAUGAUAGAAAUUAAAAUUUAGGAAACAUGCUUAUGCCAGGAUUCAAAUAAGGUUUUUCUUUGUUGAUUUCUGUUUUUGAUGCUGAACCAUCCUAAUCUUUCAUAAAUAUACAAACAUCACUUAAUUAUGAUAUUAUGGCAAUGUGAGUGUGUAUGUGUGUGAGUAUAUGUCUGUGUGUGUUUGCAUAUAUGUAGUUGUCCCAGGGCAUCACAUAUGCUAGGGACUGGUGCUACCACUUGGGUUCCUGCCAAGAUGAGAAGCUAUUUUCUAAUUAACUCUUGUAAUUUACUAUUUAAUGUUUUAUCCAUGCCUUGAAAUCUGCCUGGAUAGGUGUUACAGGCUUUUCUUAUAAAUGUAUUGCUUGGUUUCAGGUAAAGAUCACACUAACUUGAUGAAAUUUCUGCAGGGAUUUCUUUUGAUUGAUUGAUUGAUUGAUUAAUAGACAGGAUCUCACUAUGUAGCCCAUUACUGACCUUAAACUCACUAUGUAGCCUAGGCUGGCCUUGAACUCAUGGCAAUCCUCCUGUCUCUUCCAAGUGCUAGAAUUACACAUAUAUACCACCAUACCUGGCUCUCUUAUGCUCCCUCCUUUUUUAUUAGACAUGGGAGACCUUGUCUAGCUAAGCAUAUUUUUUAGGAUAAUGGUUACAUUAGUUUAUAUUUUAUACACAUAACAAAUAUAUUGAUCAUGAGGAAUAGGUAUAGAUGUAUAUCUCAUCUUAAUCUGUAUCUCAGUUUUAUGGAAGCACCUGUAAUCCCAUUUGGAGAUGAAUUUAUGAAGGGAAGGUUUUUAAUUGCCACUUGAGUUGCUUGCCAACUUGUUGAAUUCUCCACAGUCCCUCUUAUUCAUAUACCAUAUUUGAAAUUUUACAUAUUACUAGAAAUUUAUAUCUACUAUCAAAAGUUCAUUAAACAAUCAUUUAACUAUACUUUUUAUUUUAAAAUAUCCUCCAUUGACCAAGUGCAGAGGUACAGUAUACUCAUGUAAUCCCAGUAUUCCAGAGACUAUCAACAGGAUCAAAAUUGGGUGGCCAACAUGGGCUAAUAGUGUCUCUUUCUCACAAAUAAAAAUAUCAGUGGUCUUUGCAAAUAUUUCUCAUUUUCAUAGUGAGUUUUGAUGUCACACCUGCUUUGUUAUUUCUUGUUCAUAGUUUUCAGAUUAUUGAAUUCAGUUUUAUUAAUUUUGUUCUCAUGAACUGUUUUGCUAAACAUGUUUCUUGAAACCUCUAUAUUUAACUGAAUUUUUUAUUUCAAACUUUGACAAUGUCCUUAAAUUAUCACCUAAUUCUAAAUAUUUCAAAAUUCAUUUUGUGACAUAUUUGAAACAAGAGAUUAUUUAAGAGGGAGGUUGGCAUCAAAAACAUUGGUGAACUGAAUGUGGUUCAGUCAUAGAGCAUGUGUUUAGGGACAUGGAGGCCCUGGAUGCCAUUCCCUAUCUGGUACUGAGAAAUGAAAGCAAAUGGGAUUGGUAAAUCUUCACUCUCUACAAUUUCUAAGUUUUCUGUAUUUCAAUUAAGAUAAUAUUUAUACUUAGUAAGUGGUAGAAGGUAGCAUAUAUUCUAACAGAAUUUUUGUAAAACUUCUCUUUCUUUGGAAACAUUCUGUUUUCUUUGGAAACAUUCUGGUUUUUUUGAAUGGUCUAAAUAUAUCUAGCACUUAGUGCAUGAAUAUUAUUAACUGACUUACAAUGAAUCAUUUUUACUUUGCAUUUUUGAAGUUUGUUAAAAUUUGUAACCGCAGCAUGUGGAUCAGAGCUGUGUGGGUGUGGGCAAGUCCCAGCCAGGGCCCCCCCUGACCCUAGCAGCUUGGAGGCACUGGCCCCAGUGAAAAGCCUGCCUGGAAAAGAGCUGUAUAGGUGUACAAGCAACAGCCAGAGGCCCAUCCAGAUCCUCAUGUAAGUGCCUGCAGACCCCAGCCAUAAGCCUGCUCAGAAGCCAACUAGUCAGGUACACAACCCCUAGCCCAAGGCCCUCCCAGACAACAGCUACACAGUGCAUCAGGCCCCAGCCAGAGGCAUGCCCAGAUACUAUCUCAAGUGUGCACAGGCCCCACCCAGAGCACCACCUAGCAAACAGGCAGUAGAGUGAUCCAAAAGAGCACCAUUCUGAACCCAGGAAUUAGCAAAGUAGUGAGCAGCAGAGAAAAGACCUCUCGGUGG